CAGGCUGGCCGGGCGAUCGCGGCCCUGCGAAGCAGGGCUGAGGAAAGUCCGCACUCCACAGAGCACGACGUCGGGUAGCACCCGGGGCGGGGAAACAGCCGUAAGGCGUUAACCUGCCGGAACAGGGCCACAGAAACAGACAGCCGUCUGCCAAUGGCAGCGGUGAUGGUGAAAAGGUGGUGUAAGAGACCACCGGCAUCUGUAGCAAUACGGAUGGCCAGGCAACCCCCGUCGGGAGCAAGGCCAAGCAGGGACGAAGUCGUCUGCGGACGACGGGAGGCGGCUCGUCUCCUCAAGCGCUUUCUCCAUAAGUGGGAAAGCCAGUCCCGGGUAGGCCGCUAGAACGGCGCGGCAACGCGCCGUCCAGAGAGAUGAUCGCCCAGGCAGAGAGUCGGGAAGAAGCCUCCGGCGUAAACCGACACCCUCUGCUGGACAGAAUGCGGCUUACAGGCCAGCCUGAGGU
rnacentral:RNase_P_RNA from 1 species